UCUACCUGGAAAAUUGGUCUCUGAAAACCUAUACACCCUUGCGGUGACACUCUCCGGCCUCACCAUCGGGUGUCACCAGCAUUUUUUUUUCAUCUGUUUUCUUUUCUUCCUUCUUUCCUUCCUUUCUGCCUGUUUCGACCAUUCAGCUCCGUCUUGUAUACUUUUGUAUAAGUAGUAAUAAAACUUUAAAUGGAAAAAAUUAAGCGGGGUAGACGGGAGACUUGAACAAUAAUAAGGCGCUAAGUGUGUCAGGGAGUUCCGAGAGGAAUGGGAGGAAGGCUCCGAGCUCGGGUGGGUCAUCUUGAAAUUCGGAGUCCGGGAUGCCGGUCUGGGUGUUAAUCACUGCCCGGGGUCACCUCCCUCAGUGAGUGACUGGGAGCGAGUAAAGUCUUAUGUAACUGGGGACUGUAGUGGACCUGCACUAUAAAAGUGUGUUUAAGUAAUUCAGAUGCUUUGGUGGAGACUUUCUUGGAACUUCUUGGGGGCGGCUCUGGCUCAGGGGACAACAGCCUACACCCUCUCCCUUCUCCCACAGGUUCACCGCAUAGGUUCUUUUUUUUUUUUUUUUUUUUUUUUCUACUUUUCCCUCUUCUGGCCCUGACAUUUGGAAGUCCCCAACAGACUAGGUAGCAAUGGGUCAAAAGGCCCAUUUUUUUUUUUUUUUGGCGGCCCAAAAUUAGUCAGCCCCAAGAGAUAAACCCAUGCUGAUCAUGGGGGCAAAAUAAAUUUCUAAAACGAGGGUACCUUUUGUUCUGUUUUUGUCUUUAAACAAAAUAAAAUAAACAACAACAAAAACAAGGCUGCACAAGACAAUUCGACUCCGGCGGCCUGGAAGCAAAAAAGAGGUGGACUCGCGUUUUUUCGGCCUCUUAGUCACUUCUUGUCCGCGCUCCCUGAAGGCCAAAUGCCCUCAACCUCAGCCAAGCCACGGCACAAAAAUCUCCCCUGAUAAUUCCCUGCCGCCAAUGCUCCCUACAAAUCGGAGGCUUGGGAGUGUCGCCCGGUUCCCCGGGCCGCAAGGCUGUGGGCGGGACUGAUGUCCGGGUGGCCGCCGAGGACUCCGGCUUCUGAACCUCUUAGGAAAAACACCGGAGCCCCCGGCGCCCGCCGCGCUAGUCCAGAGUGCCUCAACCGCCACCCGGCUCCCGUAAGCUGGACUCCGGCGGAGAAACUGAGGCAAAGCAGCCCUGGACAGCACCUCGCGCCCUGGAAGGAACCCUCGAGGCGAGCAACAUGGGGUCCUGUGGGUAGUUCUUAAAUCGGGAGCCGGGACACGUCUGCUCACCGCGAGGUCCCACGGACAGUUCGCGACGCCGACCCCUGCGAGGGCUUAGCCGGUGUAAAUGGCCCUGUCUGAGUGCUUGCGGAGUCUUUGACACUAGUUCCCUUCGCUGCCCCCGAGGUAGGUGUCCGCAAGACUCACUCCAGUCCCCCGCGGCCAUGGUGCCACAGGCGCGCUACUCUAGCUCGCCUCGACGCCCACUCCCGCCUUUUCGCAUCUGUGCGCAAAGUCCGCCUUGGCCCGGGCGACCUUGCUGUCCCACCAAGCAGAUCGGCGAUGCAACUAGGACAGUGCCAGGUGUAAGGGACGAUGGUCAGCGAGGUCCUCCUAGGCCCUCGGGAGACCUCGUUACCAUUCCCACCCACGCUGUGCACUGUUCGGUCUUGAGACAGUAGCAGCUGCGGGUCCGGGGGAAUGCCACACACUGCGGUGCCAAGGGAACACCCGGGGGGCCGGGGGCUACUACCGAAGGCAACCCUGGAUGGGAGGCUGUCACCUAUGGAGAACACACAACUGGGGCUGCACCGAGGGACGUGAUGGUGACCAACAGACUGGAAAGGGGACUUAAGAUCGACAAAGGGCAGUGGUGGCUGGACCUGGGGGCUUUCAGGGAGUCUCCACUGCACUCCAUCUUAGCCACUCCCACACCGGCUGCUAAAUCCUGCGGCUGAAGGAGCACUCCCGGCUGGACUCACGUAAAGCAUUUGGAAGCGCGCAGCCCCCAAAGGCCACGGUAGACUGCCGGCUGGUGGCAAUUUAGCAUAGAGUGGGUGUUGAGGGGCAUUAAAUGGCCUCUUUGUGAAUUGAGGCAAAGGCAAACACACACACACACACACACACACACACACACACACACACACACGUCCCCUGACCUCCAGCACCCACCACCCGGAUUAGGUUUGAGGAGUGUUGAAGGAUCCAAUAGUGCAGCCAAGGCAGUCCUAGGAAGAGGUGUGCGGCCUUUAAAAACCUGGAACAUCCGAAGUAAAGAGGGGAGUUCAUCCCGCUUUAACCUUUCGUCCCUGCCAGGCUUUUGCAUGUUUGGUCGAAGUCUAGUGGGGGUGGAAAGUCCUAACACAAAGGGAGCAGGAAGGGGGAGUAGUACAUACAUACAUACAUACAUACAUACAUACAUACAUACACACACACACACACACACACACACACACACACACACACACACACGAUAAAACUGCAAUAGAAAUACUGCACAGGCAGGAGUGCCACUGGGCAGUAGCCAUUCUAGGGCGUCUCACCUGAGCCCUCAGGGAUGGCUGUUUGAGGGAGCGUUCUAAAAGUGUUCUAAAAGAAAGGAAGAGGUGCGAAUUAGGGUCGCCCCUCCUGACCCCUUGCCCCCCAAAAACCUGAAUACGGUUUUGGAGCCAGGUGCCCUGGGCGGUCUGGCAGGUGUGUGGUUCACGUGAAACACACUCACGUGCAGGCUUGGGAGACGCGUGCCAAGUACGCUUGGAGCCACAAGCGUGGACACUAGAGGCUCUUACAAGUACACAGACCACUGGGUCAGGAACUUCCGUGGACGCUCACUGUAGUACGCGUGCUAGGACUUCCUCACCUCUGCCUGCGCAGGGGAGGGAUUGAGAGUGUAGGGACUCCGAGGCCGGACGUCGGGCUUCUUUAUGUGGAUGUGUGCCCCCUGCAGCCUCUGUGGAGUGGUAGGCCUAGACAUGCGCAGACGCUAGAGACUGGUUGGAGCCAAACAGCUGGAUCCUGUUUAGGUGUGUGCCUGUCCAAAAAGCCCUACUGAGGUGUCUUGGGAGCCUGCAUUCUGCAUUGCAUACUGUUCCCUGCCUGUGCGUCCUACUCUCUAGCAGCGGCCACGUGUGCCCGGGUUGCUGGUGAGACCCAGAAGAGCUGGGAUCUGGGCUCUGAGUCGGCCAAAGGGGCAGGGCCCGCACCCUGCAGGCUUCGGAGCGUUGUCGUCGGAGCAGUGUUGGUUUUGGCCAAGGCAACUCCAAUGGGGGAAGCCCCGGGAGCCGGCGGGGGUGGAACAAAGGAGGGGAAAGCUAAAGAAGGCGGCUGAAAGGAGGACGGAAGCACCCUGGAACGCUGAGGGCCCCUGGGGGUAGGGGUGCAGAUGCAUAGAGAUGGUGGGGCCUGACCAGGCACAGUGGUGGGACCCAGAAGGCACUGUGCCUCUACAGCCACGUGUGCACGCCUGGCACAGACUUCUUACUGCUAGAGAGGGCCUGAGUCUACCAACUGGAUCCCCACAAGGCCACAGGCAAACCACAUGGCCACCCCAGUCAUACACACGCAUUUCAGACCCUCAAUUCGCGCCCUCCAAUGGCCCCACAGCAGCCUGUCCCUUUUUGUGUUGCUUUGGUUGUUUUUAUCAGUGGGGGGUGACUGGUUGGGUUUCUUGGUUUGGAUUUGGGUUUUGGUUUUUCUGAGACAAGAUUCUCACUCUGGUCCAGCCUAGUAUGCAACUAUGUAUACCACACUGGCCUCACACUGUGGCAAUCUUCCUCUGCCCCAGCAUCUACCGCCUGAGUGUUGGGAUUGCAGGCGCACACCACCCUGCGUGGAACUUCAUCGAUUCCAGUGCCUAUCAGAACACCAUUUGGAGCCAGAGAGCAUCUGGAUUAGAGGGCACAGUUCAACUUGGCACAGUUCAACUCUCCCCAGCUACGGACAGUUUGAUGACCCUUGAGCAAGAGCUGCAGGGGGUCCACCAGUUUGCAGCUCUCAGAGGUGACAGAACAGAUCAUGUGACAAAGCCUCCCCACUGUGUCAGCUCAAUGGCCCAGUCCUUGCUGGUAUUUAGGUGACCUCCACCCCCAGGAAAGUGACUAAAGACCUCCCCGGAAUGGAGGACCUGAGGCCUGGCUGACGUAAUGCCCUAUAACCAUUUCUCUCUUCUGACCUCCUAGCAGAAGACGUGGAGACCUGGAGAAGAAAGACUGAGAAAAGAGGAAGGAGCAAAAUAAGAAGAGCUGCGGUGCAGCUCAGUGGAGGGGCACUGCCUGACCUGAUCAAGGCCCUGGAUUAAAUCCUCCAGCAUUUAAAAAAAAAAAAAAAAAAAAAAGCAAGCCAGGGAAGGUUAGAGGAAAUCAUGACAGCAAGGUUGACACAGGUUAUUUCAGGGGACUUGGGGACUUGGAAGGGUGUUAGGGCCUCAAGGUGGGAUCAGUACAUACCAUGUUAUAGUCACAGUCAGGUUGGGAUUGAUGCCAGCCACCUCCUAGAAACGCGGUCAAAUAACAGGUCCCAUGCUCUGAGCUGACCUGGAGGGUUCAACCCUUUAGGACAUAACAGGCCCCAUUCUCAGAACUGACCUGGAGGGUUCAACCCCUUAGGACACACCAGGAACCCCAAACACAGCUGAAAAACAGCCAGGUCAAAGUCACUAUCCAGGAAUUCUAGUCAGUGUGGAUCUCAGCUUCUCCAGUUACUCUGCUUCCCUCUAUGGGUAGGGAAACUGAGGCUGGGGAGACUUAUCUAA